rnacentral:misc_RNA from 1 species
UAAGCAUAAGGUGGUUUUGUUAAAA